rnacentral:RNase_P_RNA from 1 species
CCGCUUCUUUGUAUAAUCGCGCGCGCAAAACGUGAGGAAAGUCCGGGCAUCGCAGAGCGGGAUAGCUGCUAACGGCAGCCGGAGGCGACUCCAGGGCGAGUGCAACAGAAAUAGACUGCCGCGCGGAAAUUCCGCGCGGCACAGGUGGAAAGGCGGGGUAAAAGCCCACCGGGGCGGCGGAGACGCCGCCGCCAUGUAAACCCUAUCCGAUGCAACGCCGAUUUAACGCGGGGAACAAUACGUCUGCUCGGCGUACCCCGACGAAAGGCGGCAACUCCGCCGCAAGGCGGGACGACCGCGCCGGCGACGACGCGGCAAGAUAAAUGAUUAUACACGACAAAACCCGGCUUACAGAAGGAGCGGCUUG